UAAGGCCAGUCAGAGCACCUCCAACUUUAUUAACCAAAGAAUCGUGGGAGAGCCUGUAAUCCCUAGUUGUGCAGAGGCAAAAGCGUCGGUCCUUUUUACACCUUAUGCUGGUAAUGAACUCGCCUAGAUGGAACUGUUGCUUUUCACCAAUGAGACUUGAUCUGUUGUUUAGGUCUACAGUAAGUUGUAGUAUUUGAUUUUGCAUUUCUACACAAAAAGGAGAUCUUGUAGAUAUUUCUUUUCCCUAUAAAAAUCGUGGCACAAAUGAAAAAUUGAAUGAUUUUUCAAUUCUAUACAAAUAGGAGAUCUUGUAGAUAUUCCUUCUACCUAUAAAAGUCAUCUAACAAGUAAACU
rnacentral:lncRNA from 1 species